rnacentral:rRNA from 1 species
GGGUUGUGAGGUUAAGCGACUAAGCGUACACGGUGGAUGCCCUGGCAGUCAGAGGCGAUGAAGGACGUGCUAAUCUGCGAUAAGCGUCGGUAAGGUGAUAUGAACCGUUAUAACCGGCGAUUUCCGAAUGGGGAAACCCAGUGUGUUUCGACACACUAUCAUUAACUGAAUCCAUAGGUUAAUGAGGCGAACCGGGGGAACUGAAACAUCUAAGUACCCCGAGGAAAAGAAAUCAACCGAGAUUCCCCCAGUAGCGGCGAGCGAACGGGGAGGAGCCCAGAGCCUGAAUCAGUGUGUGUGUUAGUGGAAGCGUCUGGAAAGGCGCGCGAUACAGGGUGACAGCCCCGUACACAAAAAUGCACAUAUUGUGAGCUCGAUGAGUAGGGCGGGACACGUGGUAUCCUGUCUGAAUAUGGGGGGACCAUCCUCCAAGGCUAAAUACUCCUGACUGACCGAUAGUGAACCAGUACCGUGAGGGAAAGGCGAAAAGAACCCCGGCGAGGGGAGUGAAAAAGAACCUGAAACCGUGUACGUACAAGCAGUGGGAGCACGCUUAGGCGUGUGACUGCGUACCUUUUGUAUAAUGGGUCAGCGACUUAUAUUCUGUAGCAAGGUUAACCGAAUAGGGGAGCCGAAGGGAAACCGAGUCUUAACUGGGCGUUAAGUUGCAGGGUAUAGACCCGAAACCCGGUGAUCUAGCCAUGGGCAGGUUGAAGGUUGGGUAACACUAACUGGAGGACCGAACCGACUAAUGUUGAAAAAUUAGCGGAUGACUUGUGGCUGGGGGUGAAAGGCCAAUCAAACCGGGAGAUAGCUGGUUCUCCCCGAAAGCUAUUUAGGUAGCGCCUCGUGAAUUCAUCUCCGGGGGUAGAGCACUGUUUCGGCAAGGGGGUCAUCCCGACUUACCAACCCGAUGCAAACUGCGAAUACCGGAGAAUGUUAUCACGGGAGACACACGGCGGGUGCUAACGUCCGUCGUGAAGAGGGAAACAACCCAGACCGCCAGCUAAGGUCCCAAAGUCAUGGUUAAGUGGGAAACGAUGUGGGAAGGCCCAGACAGCCAGGAUGUUGGCUUAGAAGCAGCCAUCAUUUAAAGAAAGCGUAAUAGCUCACUGGUCGAGUCGGCCUGCGCGGAAGAUGUAACGGGGCUAAACCAUGCACCGAAGCUGCGGCAGCGACGCUGAUGCGUUGUUGGGUAGGGGAGCGUUCUGUAAGCCUGCGAAGGUGUGCUGUGAGGCAUGCUGGAGGUAUCAGAAGUGCGAAUGCUGACAUAAGUAACGAUAAAGCGGGUGAAAAGCCCGCUCGCCGGAAGACCAAGGGUUCCUGUCCAACGUUAAUCGGGGCAGGGUGAGUCGACCCCUAAGGCGAGGCCGAAAGGCGUAGUCGAUGGGAAACAGGUUAAUAUUCCUGUACUUGGUGUUACUGCGAAGGGGGGACGGAGAAGGCUAUGUUGGCCGGGCGACGGUUGUCCCGGUUUAAGCGUGUAGGCUGGUUUUCCAGGCAAAUCCGGAAAAUCAAGGCUGAGGCGUGAUGACGAGGCACUACGGUGCUGAAGCAACAAAUGCCCUGCUUCCAGGAAAAGCCUCUAAGCAUCAGGUAACAUCAAAUCGUACCCCAAACCGACACAGGUGGUCAGGUAGAGAAUACCAAGGCGCUUGAGAGAACUCGGGUGAAGGAACUAGGCAAAAUGGUGCCGUAACUUCGGGAGAAGGCACGCUGAUAUGUAGGUGAAGUCCCUUGCGGAUGGAGCUGAAAUCAGUCGAAGAUACCAGCUGGCUGCAACUGUUUAUUAAAAACACAGCACUGUGCAAACACGAAAGUGGACGUAUACGGUGUGACGCCUGCCCGGUGCCGGAAGGUUAAUUGAUGGGGUUAGCCGCAAGGCGAAGCUCUUGAUCGAAGCCCCGGUAAACGGCGGCCGUAACUAUAACGGUCCUAAGGUAGCGAAAUUCCUUGUCGGGUAAGUUCCGACCUGCACGAAUGGCGUAAUGAUGGCCAGGCUGUCUCCACCCGAGACUCAGUGAAAUUGAACUCGCUGUGAAGAUGCAGUGUACCCGCGGCAAGACGGAAAGACCCCGUGAACCUUUACUAUAGCUUGACACUGAACAUUGAGCCUUGAUGUGUAGGAUAGGUGGGAGGCUUAGAAGUGUGGACGCCAGUCUGCAUGGAGCCGACCUUGAAAUACCACCCUUUAAUGUUUGAUGUUCUAACGUUGACCCGUAAUCCGGGUUGCGGACAGUGUCUGGUGGGUAGUUUGACUGGGGCGGUCUCCUCCUAAAGAGUAACGGAGGAGCACGAAGGUUGGCUAAUCCUGGUCGGACAUCAGGAGGUUAGUGCAAUGGCAUAAGCCAGCUUGACUGCGAGCGUGACGGCGCGAGCAGGUGCGAAAGCAGGUCAUAGUGAUCCGGUGGUUCUGAAUGGAAGGGCCAUCGCUCAACGGAUAAAAGGUACUCCGGGGAUAACAGGCUGAUACCGCCCAAGAGUUCAUAUCGACGGCGGUGUUUGGCACCUCGAUGUCGGCUCAUCACAUCCUGGGGCUGAAGUAGGUCCCAAGGGUAUGGCUGUUCGCCAUUUAAAGUGGUACGCGAGCUGGGUUUAGAACGUCGUGAGACAGUUCGGUCCCUAUCUGCCGUGGGCGCUGGAGAACUGAGGGAGGCUGCUCCUAGUACGAGAGGACCGGAGUGGACGCAUCACUGGUGUUCGGGUUGUCAUGCCAAUGGCACUGCCCGGUAGCUAAAUGCGGAAGAGAUAAGUGCUGAAAGCAUCUAAGCACGAAACUUGCCCCGAGAUGAGUUCUCCCUGACUCCUUGAGAGUCCUGAAGGAACGUUGAAGACGACGACGUUGAUAGGCCGGGUGUGUAAGCGCAGCGAUGCGUUGAGCUAACCGGUACUAAUGAACCGUGAGGCUUAACCUUACAACGCCGAAG